rnacentral:lncRNA from 1 species
CAGUUUAUUUUGGUAAUGGUUAAUUAAAUUUCAAGAACUUGGAUAUUCACCCAAUAAGGACUUGCUAAAUUUCCUAAUUCAAUUCUCACUCCACUAUACCAUUUAGUCUUUAUACUUUUAUUAUAAUUUAAUUACUGGCUAAUGUGAUUUCUCAAUCUCAUAUUCACCCCAUUCAACCUUUUAGCUAUCUUAACUUUUCAUAUUCGGUCCCGAAACUGAUUUUUUCAACACCGAAAAAAUCAGGUCGUCAUAAAAAAAAGCUCAAACAAAAAUGCUUUGGAGCAAGCAAAUUGAACAAAGGUCCAUAAAAUAGAGAACUCGACGAUUGCAAAUGGUGAUACAGACUUAGAACACAGAAAAACUUCAAAAGUUGUAACAGAAAAAGUGACACAUAUAGAGUCUUCUUGCAACCUGCUGCUCAUCAUUGCUCUUACUCCCAGGCGCAGUCAGUUUAGUCCGGCAUUUAUUGUGAAUAUUCUAGAAGCCUUCAAGCAACCUUUCACGCCCAUCAACAUGCUGAACCACUCGUGAUGCACAUCCCGGUUGUUCUACCUCCCGAGCAACUCACGAGCAAGAAUGUAACCUAGGGAGACAAUUUUUAAGCCACCACCUGGGCUAAAUACGUGUCACUUCAGAAAGUAUUAGGUGCAUGCCUGAAGAUAGUUUUCCACCUCUGGUCUAUCGGGAUGUCCUCAAAUGCUCAACCUCUCAUAACUAACUACCUACCGAAAGCUAUUCGUUUUGAAACACAAACAUCUCCUAAAUUUAGAUUAGAGGUGUUAAUGGACCGGGUUAAGCCUAACAAAAAUUUUAAAUUUGUUUGUUAGAUUCGACACAAAAAAUAUACUUAAUAUUUCGCCCAAACUCAACCUAUAUAAAAAUACUAAAACCUGAUUCUGGCCCAACUAGCCCG